GAUAAACGCUGGCGGCGCACAUAAGACAUGCAAGUCGAACGGACUUAACUCAUUCUUUUAGAUUGAGAGCGGUUAGUGGCGGACUGGUGAGUAACACGUAAGCAACCUGCCUAUUAGAGGGGAAUAACAGUGAGAAAUCAUUGCUAAUACCGCAUAUGCUAACAGUAUCGCAUGAUACAGUUAGGAAAGGAGCAAUCCGCUAAUAGAUGGGCUUGCGUCUGAUUAGCUAGUUGGUGGGGUAACGGCCUACCAAGGCGACGAUCAGUAGCCGGACUGAGAGGUUGACCGGCCACAUUGGGACUGAGACACGGCCCAG
rnacentral:rRNA from 1 species